GGCGCCCGAAGGCUGCAGGGGGGACGCUCCGGUCCGAGCCACCGCCUGGGCCCGAAAGAGCCGCUCCUGGGAAGCAAUGCGGGGCCAAUCUCAAAUCCCAAAUUCUGGAAAGCGCUACUUCCCACGCAGUAAAGGGAAACCCGGGCGCCUCAAAACCAAACCUUGGAAGACGCUAGAGGAGCAAAGCCUGCAAGUUUCCUCCACAGCCUCGAAGCCAUGGGUUCUCCCCGGCCCUCUGAAGCCGCCACACCUGUGCCAGCCGGCCGCGUCGUCAGACCUUUCCCCACGGAGUCUUCCCAGCACUUGGAGAAGCAGCGCAGGGCCCCGAGGACGGCCUGGCCCGGAGAAAAGAUACCGAAGCUCCAACUUUCCCCAACCCCGCUCCCCUCCUCCUUCCACCCUCCCUUCCCGCCCCUAAAGCUCGGGGGUCCUAUCCCUCCUCCGGUCCGCGGAGUCUCCCGAACCCUGCGGGGACCCGGCGCUCGGCGGUGCCCUCCUGGGGCGCACGGGGCUGGGGCGGGAGCUGGGAGACCAGGUGGGGAGGGGACCCCAGAUCUCAGACGCCCGGGGAGACGGCGUUUCCCGCUGUUCAUUCAGGUUUGUGCCAAAAGGAGCCUCACAGAUGCAGUAUUGGGUUUGGUAGACUCAAAUCGUCUUGUUUUAAUGUAAAUGAACCCGUAUUUUUCUCCCUUUCCAAAUCCUCCGCCUCCCAGUCCUCCGACCCAGGCACGAGCGCGCAUCGCGGAGGCCACGAUGCCGGUUUUAUUCCCUCUCCACGGCAAAGAAAAGCAGCAAAAUCUGAGGUCUUCAGAGGUUAACCCUAUCUAGGAGCAGCAUGUGACGCAUUGUAAACAAAUAAAUAUUGAAAACUCGAUGUUAAACACUUUACUUUUUCUGACUCCGACUUGCUUGACCCCUGAGUAGACCUGGGUUUCGAACACAGACGCCCUUCCCCAUUUCUCUAUUCUCUGUAUUCCUGUUUCACCUUCACGGCAAUCUGCCAGCACUUCUUAGCACUCAGUUUAACCAGAGGACGAGCUCUUGAAUAGCAAAAACCAGGUCUUUUUAUACGUGGCACAGUGCCUGUUACAAAAUUAUAUGCUUCUUGGGUGAAUUGGUAAAA
rnacentral:lncRNA from 1 species